AAAGCCGGUGGUGCGGCUAGUGCAUAACGAGCGCACCCUUUUCAUUAGUUGCCAUCAGGUCAUGCUGGGCACUCUGGUGAUACUGCCACCGUAAGGUGUAAGGAAGGUGGGGAUGACGUAAGCAGCACCCUUAUCUUUAGUAGCCAGCAUUUCGGAUGGGCACUCUAGAGAGACUCGCCGGGUGAACCGGGAGGAAGGUGGGGAUGACGUCAAAUCAUCAUGCCCCUUAUGAUUUGGGCUACACACGUGCUAAAGGGAUUGAGAAGGGAAGCAAGUAGGUCAAGAGUGACAGGUGGUGCAUGGUUGUCGUCAGCUCGUGUCGUGAGAUGUUGGGUUAAGUCCCGCAACGAGCAGCACCCUUAUCUUUAGUAGCCAGCAUUUCGGAUGGGCACUCUAGAGAGACUCGCCGGGUGAACCGGGAGGAAGGUGGGGAUG
rnacentral:rRNA from 1 species